UAAUAAGUGUUUUAUGGCACUUUUUAAAUCCAUAUCCACCUUGUGUGCAAUGUCAGUUGUUCUUCUUUAUGGAGAAUAACCAAACAUCAACUUAUUUUUUAACUCUUUGUCUGAAAAAUAUUAUGAAUAAAUAAUUCAAAAUA
rnacentral:misc_RNA from 1 species